AAUCAUUCAAAUCUCUUUUGAAGUUUCCUAAUGUUGCUUCAAAUUCAGAACCUAUUAAAAACAUAUCCCUAAUCGAAUCAGCAGCUGCUUUUUCCUCCAAACCAUCACAAAAAUGCUUGCUUGAGAAGAUCGAUGUCAUAACAGGAGAAGAAACAGAACAUAAUGUGUUAAAGAUCAACUGCAAGAUCUUUGUAUUCAACAAAGCCACACAGUCCUGGAGUGAAAGAGGCCAAGGGGUUUUGAGACUGAACGACACAGCCGGCAGUGAGUGCGGGACGCUGCAGUCAAGACUGAUCAUGCGCAACCAAGGCAGCCUGAGGCUGGUUCUCAAUAGCAGACUCUGGGCUCAGAUGAGGACUCAAAGAGCAAGUCAUAAAAGCUUGCGGAUAACCGCGACUGAUUUAGAAGACGACCGCAUAAAAAUAUUCUUAAUUCAGGCUAGUGCCAAAGACAUAGGCUUUCUGUAUGCAGCAAUACACCACCGUCUCGUUGCCCUUCGAAGCCUCGGUCAGCAGGGUGAUGGUGGU
rnacentral:lncRNA from 1 species